rnacentral:rRNA from 1 species
CCUACGGGCGGCAGCAGUGAGGAAUAUUGGUCAAUGGACGGAAGGCUGAACCAGCCAAGCCGCGUGAAGGACGACGGUGCCAAGAAUUGUAAACUUCUUUUGUCAAAGGACAAAAUCAGACUCGAGAGCCUGACCGAGGGUACUUGAAGAAAAAGCAUCGGCUAACUCCGUGCCAGCAGCCGCGGUAAUACGGAGGGUGCAAGCGUUACUCGGAAUCACUGGGCGUAAAGAGCGCGUAGGCGGUAUAACAAGUCAGAUGUGAAAUCCUAUGGCUUAACUAUGGAACUGCAUUUGAUACUGUUAUUCUAGAGAAUGGGAGAGGUAGGUGGAAUGUAUGGUGUAGCGGUAAAAUCCGUAGAGAUCA